GACGAACGCUGGCGGCGUGCUUAACACAUGCAAGUCGAACGAAGAGCGAUGGAAGCUUGCUUCUAUCAAUCUUAGUGGCGAACGGGUGAGUAACGCGUAAUCAACCUGCCCUUCAGAGGGGGACAACAGUUGGAAACGACUGCUAAUACCGCAUACGAUCUAAUCUCGGCAUCGAGGAUAGAUGAAAGGUGGCCUCUACAUGUAAGCUAUCACUGAAGGAGGGGAGUGCGUCUGAUUAGCUAGUUGGAGGGGUAACGGCCCACCAAGGCGAUGAUCAGUAGCCGGUCUGAGAGGAUGAACGGCCACAUUGGGACUGAGACACGGCCCAGACUCCUACGGGAGGCAGCAGUGGGGAAUCUUCCGCAAUGGACGAAAGUCUGACGGAGCAACGCCGCGUGAGUGAUGACGGCCUUCGGGUUGUAAAGCUCUGUUAAUCGGGACGAAAGGCCUUCUUGCGAAUAGUGAGAAGGAUUGGCGGUACCGGAAUAGAAAGCCACGGCUAACUACGUG
rnacentral:rRNA from 1 species